AGAUUGAGAAAUCUCUGCAGGCAAAUGUGAUGUCACGAUUGCAGUUUCACAGUUACCAGUAGAGGUUCUGCAAUCU
rfam:Ophiophagus hannah scaffold378.1, whole genome shotgun sequence.